rnacentral:lncRNA from 1 species
GUGGUUAGCACGUGCUCUUUCCCCUUCUUCUGGUAUUUACAAAGUCAAGAGCCCUGUAAAAGUUUGGUUUCCCGUGCACUCACGCUUGUCCAUUUUCAAAUUUAUUCAUUUACAAUUCUGGAGAUCCAAACACAUACAGUAUUCUAUUCAUAAUUAAAAUCUUCACCAUUUUUCCAGGAAUGCAUUUUGAUAUUUUUGAAGUGAGUGAAGUUUACUAAAUGAGAAGGCUCAAGAGAAGACAGCAUCAUAUGAAAAAACAUGCAGACAACAACGGAAGGUUUUGUGGGAUGAUGACAUGAAAGAGGCAAGCUUCAGCAGAGUCAGCACUUGGAAUCGCUGCAGUCUUGGACAGGAGACACAAGGUGCAAGAGUGCAGAAAGAUGAGAUUGUCCUCCUGUUCUUCUCAACCCAGCAAGGCUUCCUUGCCAAAGCCUAUACUGGUUACCUCUCAACUUGUGAAGGCAGGGCAUUGUUGAAUCACAUUCCUGUAGUCUUGUUUCAACCACACCCUUGCUGUUACUUGUAGGUUGGAAUGCAGAAGCUCUAGUAGAUGGCUCAGUAGAGGCAAAGUGUCUGCUUGAGGCCAGUGGACAAGACAGAACAACACCAGUAAAUUAGGACUGCACAGUUUUAACACUUAUAAGACCUGGAGAAAAUAAUAUGAGUUAGUGAAGUGAAUUGGACAUAACUUUCCUAUGUUCAUAUAUGAAUACAUGCCACUGUAAAUCUCCACAUCAUGUAUAACCACAAGAAUGGGAUCCUAAUUAGAAUAAGUUAUAUAUAUAAGUAUGUAUAAUAUGUCAAAAGAUACUCUACUGUCAUGUGUAUCUAAAAAGAACAAAUAAAAAUUUCAA